rnacentral:tRNA from 1 species
GCAUCUCCCUUACACUGAGAAGUCAUCCGUGCAAGUCGGGUCGCCCUGA